AAAAGCACAAGUAGCUGUAAACUUGAUCAACGCACUUAAGAUAGAGUUCAGUGGGCAGAGGAACAUCCACAGUCAAGGAUUCAUAGCUAUUGAUGAUAUUACAGUUAGAGGAGGAAACUGCAGUUACCUUAAUGAAUGUGGAUUUGAUUCGGAUUGGUGUGGCUUUGAGAAUGGUGUCAGUCACAGUGGUCGCUGGGAGCGCAAAAGGGGAACGUCCAAUCAUGUGGACAA